rnacentral:rRNA from 1 species
AACGAACGCUGGCGGCAGGCUUAACACAUGCAAGUCGAACGAGUGUAGCAAUACACUAGGUGGCGCACGGGUGCGUAACGCGUGGGAACCUUCCUCGUAGUUCGGAAUAACUCAGGGAAACUUGGGCUAAUACCGAAUGCCUCCUUCGGGAGAAAGAUUUAUCGCUACGAGAUGGGCCCGCGUCAGAUUAGGUAGUUGGUAGGUAAUGGCCUACCAAGCCGACGAUCUGUAGCUGGUCGAGAGGAUGAUCAGCCACACUGGGACUGAGACACGGCCCA